AUAAAACAUGACUCCCACACUAAACAUUAACCUCUGCCCUACACCACUACAUUAAAGAUAAACCAUACACUACAUAUCACUACCAUAAAACAUUACUCUUACACUACACUAAACAUUAACUUCUACCCUACACCACUACAUUAAACAUAAACCCUACACUACGCAUCACUACCAUGAAACAUCAAUCCUACACUACACUAAACCUUAACCAACCACAUACUUAGGGCAGACUAGAUGGGCCGAAUGGUUCUUAUCUGCCGUCACAUUCUAUGAACAUCACUCCUUCACUAUACUUAACAUUAUCCUCUACACUACUCUAAUCAUUAACCCCAUACACUAUACUUUAAUCUCUACACUACUGACUCAUGUCUUACAUGGAAAGCACCCUCUAGGGCUGUCAGGAAGAUACGAAGACAGUUUAGGCCUGCAAUGAAAACAUUGGCAUAUCAACUAAAUGGCUAAAACUAGUUUGAGAUGAAG